UCCCCAUGUCUCCGUCGCCGCCGUGUGCUGGUGCGUUGCAUAUGAGGCUUGUCUGCGCCUGUGUGCGCGCAGUGGUACGCACGCACCCACGUGGGGCAUCGGCAAGUCAAUGGGAGCGGGCAGACACACAUCGAAGGGCAGCGCACGUCCGUUUCUUCUCUCGUCCGGUAUUCCUCUUUGUUUUUUUUUUUAUUCUCCUCUGCUGACUCGCCUCCCUACGCCGCCCACUCGUUCUCUCGUUGUAACCCAAGCUGGCUGAGCAGCGCGUGCCUAUCUACAUAUACAUCUAUAACUAUAUAUGCACACAUUUCUUCGAGCCAUGCCCUUUACGGCGGUGCACCACGCUUUCGUUCUCCCACCCCUUCUAUGCCGUCCCUGUUGCCCGCCCGCAGUGUCCACCGUCUCUCCGUCUUCUUUCUUGUUGGCACUGCCUCGCCAUGAUUAUUCUUUUCUCUUGUUCGCUUCUUUGCUUCUCUCUCUGCUCCCUACUCCUGUAUCCUCUAUCUGCGUGUCCCUUCAUUCCUUGGCUGCCGCCCUCCUCCCCCCUCCUUCCGCCUGUCGCUCACUCUUCAGAGUGAAAGCUAACCCCCACAAGGGCAGAGGAGUUGCAGACGAGGCCAACCCCCCAGUCAAGACGAAGCGGUGGCGAUGACGGUGGUAGCGGUGGAGGCGGUGGAGGCGGUGGCGGCACAACAGGCCUCGUGACAG
rnacentral:misc_RNA from 1 species